rnacentral:lncRNA from 1 species
UUGCACAGAGGGUGGUGGCUCUAAGAACUCUCCCUUUGGGGUAGAGAGGUUUUGAAAGGAUGGCUUCUCCAUGGGUAGCGGGGGCAAAGGUAGAAGGAAAGAAAGCUAAAAAGAUACAAGGACGACUAGGUACUAAAAAGAUACAGCAACCAUUCCCCAGCAACAGCGCCAGAAAGCUUGUUGGUAUAAUUAAUGACUAUGAAUAAAUCCACAAGUGCACGGAUACCGUUGUAGCUUU